rnacentral:rRNA from 1 species
CACACUGGACUGAGACACGGUCCAGACUCCUACGGGAGGCAGCAGUGGGGAAUAUUGCACAAUGGGCGCAAGCCUGAUGCAGCCAUGCCGCGUGUGUGAAGAAGGCCUUCGGGUUGUAAAGUACUUUCAGUCGUGAGGAAGGCGGUGUCGUUAAUAGCGGCCUCGUUUGACGUUAGCUACAGAAGAAGCACCGGCUAACUCCGUGCCAGCAGCCGCGGUAAUACGGAGGGUGCGAGCGUUAAUCGGAAUUACUGGGCGUAAAGCGCAUGCAGGUGGUUUGUUAAGUCAGAUGUGA